AUGAGCUGGCACCGUCUGGGCGAAAGGGAAUCCGGUUCCUAUUCCGGAACCCGGCCGCGGAACCGCUCCAAUUCGGGCCCUCAUCCGAGGACUCGUCGGGGUGACCCGAAAUGACCCGGAGAAGCCGUAGGGAGGUCCGGGGAGAGUUGUCUCUUCUCUAUAAGCGUUCGAGUUCCCUGGAAGCCUCUAGG
rnacentral:rRNA from 1 species